ACCAAGAUGGCCGAGUGGUUAAGGCGGUGGGCUUAAGCGAUUUUUGGCGUAAUUUCCACUAUCGAGAGAUUCCUGGGUUCGAACCCCAGUCUUGGUA
rfam:Metarhizium acridum CQMa 102 unplaced genomic scaffold Scf_188, whole genome shotgun sequence.